AUUGAACGCUGGCGGCGUGCUUAACACAUGCAAGUCGAGCGGUAACAGGCGUAGCAAUACGUGCUGACGAGCGGCGAACGGGUGCGUAAUACAUGGGAAUCUGCCCUUUGGUGGGGAAUAACCCGGCGAAAGCCGGGCUAAUGCCGCAUGAGAUCUUCGGAUGAAAGCGGGGGAUCGUAAGACCUCGCGCCGAUGGAUGAGCCCAUGUCGGAUUAGCUAGUUGGUGAGGUAACGGCUCACCAAGGCGACGAUCCGUAGCUGGUCUGAGAGGACGGCCAGCCACACUGGGACUGAGACACGGCCCAGACUCCUACGGGAGGCAGCAGUGGGGAAUAUUGGACAAUGGGCGAAAGCCUGAUCCAGCGACGCCGCGUGUGUGAAGAAGGCCUGCGGGUUGUAAAGCACUUUCGAUGGGAACGAAAUGUGCCGGGCUAAUACCCCGGCAGGCUGACGUUACUCAAUGAAGAAGCACCGGCUAACUCUGUGCCAGCCGCCGCCGUAA
rnacentral:rRNA from 1 species